GACGAACGCUGGCGGCGUGCUUAACACAUGCAAGUCGAGCGGUAAGGCCCUUUCGGGGGUACACGAGCGGCGAACGGGUGAGUAACACGUGGGUGACCUGCCCUCAGCUCUGGGAUAAGCCUGGGAAACUGGGUCUAAUACUGGAUAUGACUCCACGGUGCAUGUCGUGGGGUGAAAGCCUUGUGCGGCUGAGGAUGGGCCCGCGGCCUAUCAGCUUGUUGGUGGGGUGANGGCCUACCAAGGCGACGACGGGUAGCCGGCCUGAGAGGGCGACCGGCCACACUGGGACUGAGACACGGCCCAGACUCCUACGGGAGGCAGCAGUGGGGAAUCUUGCGCAAUGGGCGAAAGCCUGACGCAGCGACGCCGCGUGAGGGAUGACGGCC
rnacentral:rRNA from 1 species